UGAAGUCGGAUGCUCAACCGACUGAGCCACCCAGGCGCCCCUCUAGUGGUAUUUUCUAUGGCAGCCCAAGCAAACUAAUAUAGCACAUAAUGAAAAUUUACAUUUCCAAGCCCCACCUUGAACAUUCUGGAUCAGAAUAGGAUUGGGCCCUGGCAAAUGCAUUUUUAACAAACCCUCCAGGAAAGUCUGAUGUACACCAAAGUUUCAAGAUGGCAUUCAGAAGUGAGACAAAAUGGGAUGCACCAUGGAUCCAUGAAUCCUAGAAAGUUGUGUGACACUGGGUUAUGAGCUGCAUUAAAGAAAUGAGAAUUGGAAAUUGAUGCUGGAAUGUAUUUGAGUUAUCUUUGCAGCCACGAAUGGCUUUGAAUUAUAUAAUCUUAUGCUUUUCUGGUUCAUGUUUAUCUCCAUUGUUAAUUAAAAAUAUUUAUUUUUCAAUUUGGAAUUG